UCCACCGGCCUGGGAGUGAAGGGUUAACAGACCACCCUCCACCUGCGACCGCCGCCGCCUACAGCCUUUGCUGGAAGCACAUUACGUCACCUUCCCAGCGGCCUCCGGGGGCCCUGCUCGCUGGAGAAAGCCGGCGGAGUCAAAUCUGGCCCCCCAGCGCUCAGGACCGGAGUCCGGGUCAACGAAGUCCCGCUGCUCCCAGCCCCUUUACAAAGGCUGGCACCGAGGCUUGACUGGGUUGCGAAUUGUCCCAGGGCAGUCAGGAGUUUACGUCUUCUGCUUUGCACCCGCCGUGAACUAGCGCUUACUCCAGUGGUCCUCAAUCCCUGGGACCUCGGAACCACAAGACCUGAAAACCAUGCCAGUGCCCAGCCCUACCGCCGGCCUCCUGAGACGGGGACCCGAGCACGAGUAUUUUGAAAAAGUUCCACCGAGAUUCUGAAGCGCAGCCCACCUACGGAUUCCUACUCCUUCAACGACCUCACUGCCCCAUCUUGCAGCUGGCCAGCUGGUCGUGUUGUAAACAUCUAGGAAUUUAUCCCAAGGAAUAAAAUCACAAGUACUUAAAGAAGUGCUGUAACUAGGAAGAAGUGAGAAUAAGGAAAUGAAUAUGUAAAUUACAUCCACACGACGGAAUACCAUGGAUCAUUAAAAAUUACGCACACAAAGGUAUAUUUAUUGACCAAAAAAAAGGCGAUCACACUGUCAGUCAUAGUUACGGGAGUGGUGAGAUUUGGGGUGAAUUUUACGUUUUUCUGACAUUUCAGUAUUGUUUAAAUUACCUUUUAUAAUAAACAUGUAUAAACUAGUGAGAAAUAGUGUCUUAAUUUUGGGGAAAACAAGACAAGAUUGUUCUCUUCAUUGUUCACACACAGGGAGGCUGGUACAGAAUACACCAGUCUCACCCUGAAAGACAGAAAACUAAACCCUGCUCUGGCCCCAGCACUCAGCAGAAAGGUGCCACCUUCAACUGUGCUGCCCAGUGGCUCCUGCAGGGCCCUUCACACUGUUGUGUGACUGGUACUCUGGGGGUAUUCAGCAAUAACUUCCAUAUAACUCUCUCUGGCCCAGGGCACCCACCUAUAACCCAGAGCCUCAGUAACCCCCUGCAGAGGUGGCACACAGCACCUGUGCCCAUAGUUCCUCCCUGGACCUGCCCAGAGGCUGUGAUGCCUGGCCAAGUGGACUGAGGGGGUACAAGUGAAGGCUCAGUAGAAAUGCUGGAAGAAUAGUGGCUAAACCCAAACCUCAGGAAACUGAUAUUUUCCCCCUGGCCCUGGAUCCCAUGUAACUGAACAUCUCUUCCAGGUGGUACCUUGCCCUGGCUGGCAGGAAGACAAGGACUGGCUCUGAGGUGUAGGGCAGCUUUUGACAAGUCACUUCUCAGGACCGAAGCUCUUCAUCGCAAAAGGGACGGACUCGACUGAGUAACCACUACGUUUAGAUGUCUACCACGGGUUGGGCACCUGCUACGGGUCACAGAAGAGAAUUCUAUAUAUGGUUUUGCUGUGAGCAAAAAGGGCGAUAUGUCAGAGGAAGUCUCAUUCUUUCAACCACUGGCCAUUCUGCGAUGGGAAAUUCAAGGAUCUGAAGGUGAAGAGCCUGCUUCUGAUAACAGCUGGCAAGAGACAGCGCAGGCUGGUCCCAAGUUGCCCAGGUCUCACCACCACACUGGGCUGCCUUCCUCAUUGCUUUGCAGUUGCCUAGCUCUACUUCAAAUUAUACAAAUGCUGUUAAUGACAGAGCCUCUAGAAGUCAUUCAGCUGAACCUGGACCCACCCAAUUGUCCUGAGGGGUUCUUUAACCUCCCUGCCACCCCAAGAAAGCUAGGUCUGCUGCCAAGCAGGCCUGGUUCAGAAAGUUUUUUCCCCAGUUAAGAGAAAGGCUAAGCAACUUCUCUGUGAAGUCAGCAACCACAAUCACUCUUCAGCAUGAAGAGGACAGUGAUUGGCCUGGUCCUCCCAGCAGGGAAGAGCGUGUGAGCUGGUCCUGACCCCCAGCUCCAGCUGCUGGCACCAGGACAGGCUAAACAGCUGAGCCAGUGAAUCUGACCCUUUCCCACUGAUGCAGGAAAACAGUCUGGAGGCAGGGAACAUAAGGCCAAUUCACGCUUCAGCUGUAACAGGAAAUAUCCUCUCCAUAGGGCAUAUGCUGUAAAUGACUUUGUAAAUUUACUUCAUCCUCUCCAUUUACGUAGGGUGUACCUCAAGUAACUAAUAGAAUCCUCUAGGGGUGUUUUAAACUCCCCAAAAUUCUGUAACAGGGCCCUUGAGCCCCUAUGCUCGGGACAUUCUUACACUGUGGAGUGUAGUUUCAUUCUCAAUAAAACUCAUCAUUCCUUCCUUG